rnacentral:rRNA from 2 species
CCGGAGCUUGCUCCAUCGGAAAAAGAGGAGUGGCGAACGGGUGAGUAACACGUGGGUAACCUGCCCAUCAGAAGGGGAUAACACUUGGAAACAGGUGCUAAUACCGUAUAACAAUCGAAACCGCAUGGUUUCGAUUUGAAAGGCGCUUUCGGGUGUCGCUGAUGGAUGGACCCGCGGUGCAUUAGCUAGUUGGUGAGGUAACGGCUCACCAAGGCGACGAUGCAUAGCCGACCUGAGAGGGUGAUCGGCCACAUUGGGACUGAGACACGGCCCAAACUCCUACGGGAGGCAGCAGUAGGGAAUCUUCGGCAAUGGACGAAAGUCUGACCGAGCAACGCCGCGUGAGUGAAGAAGGUUUUCGGAUCGUAAAACUCUGUUGUUAGAGAAGAACAAGGAUGAGAGUAACUGUUCAUCCCUUGACGGUAUCUAACCAGAAAGCCACGGCUAACUACGUGCCAGCAGCCGCGGUAAUACGUAGGUGGCAAGCGUUGUCCGGAUUUAUUGGGCGUAAAGCGAGCGCAGGCGGUUUCUUAAGUCUGAUGUGAAAGCCCCCGGCUCAACCGGGGAGGGUCAUUGGAAACUGGGAGACUUGAGUGCAGAAGAGGAGAGUGGAAUUCCAUGUGUAGCGGUGAAAUGCGUAGAUAUAUGGAGGAACACCAGUGGCGAA